AUUGAACGCUGGCGGCAGGCUUAACACAUGCAAGUCGAGCGGGGAAAGGUAGCUUGCUACCUGACCUAGCGGCGGACGGGUGAGUAAUGCUUGGGAAUCUGCCUAUUAGUGGGGGACAACAUCUCGAAAGGGAUGCUAAUACCGCAUACGUCCUACGGGAGAAAGCAGGGGACCUUCGGGCCUUGCGCUAAUAGAUGAGCCUAAGUCGGAUUAGCUAGUUGGUGGGGUAAAGGCCUACCAAGGCGACGAUCUGUAGCGGGUCUGAGAGGAUGAUCCGCCACACUGGGACUGAGACACGGCCCAGACUCCUACGGGAGGCAGCAGUGGGGAAUAUUGGACAAUGGGGGGAACCCUGAUCCAGCCAUGCCGCGUGUGUGAAGAAGGCCUUUUGGUUGUAAAGCACUUUAAGCGAGGAGGAGGCUACCGAGAUUAAUACUCUUGGAUAGUGGACGUUACUCGCAGAAUAAGCACCGGCUAACUCUGUG
rnacentral:rRNA from 1 species